GACGAACGCUGGCGGCGUGCUUAACACAUGCAAGUCGAACGGUGAAGCCCUUCGGGGUGGAUCAGUGGCGAACGGGUGAGUAACACGUGAGCAACCUGCCCCUGGCUCUGGGACAACCACUGGAAACGGUGGCUAAUACCGGAUACGACCCGCCUCGGCAUCGCGGGUUGGUGGAAAGGUUUUCGGCGGUGGAUGGGCUCGCGGCUUAUCAGCUUGUUGGUGAGGUGAAGGCUCACAAAGGCGACGACGGGUAGCCGGCCUGAGAGGGCGACCGGCCACACUGGGACUGAGACACGGCCCAGACUCCUACGGGAGGCAGCAGUGGGGAAUAUUGCACAAUGGGCGAAAGCCUGAUGCAGCGACGCCGCGUGAGGGAUGACGGCCUUCGGGUUGUAAACCUCUUUCAGCUCCGAAGAAGCGAAAGUGACGGUAGGAGCAGAAGAAGCACCGGCUAACUACGUG
rnacentral:rRNA from 1 species